AGUGAACGCUGGCGGUAGGCCUAACACAUGCAAGUCGAACGGCAGCACAGUAAGAGCUUGCUCUUACGGGUGGCGAGUGGCGGACGGGUGAGGAAUACAUCGGAAUCUACUUUUUCGUGGGGGAUAACGUAGGGAAACUUACGCUAAUACCGCAUACGACCUACGGGUGAAAGCAGGGGAUCUUCGGACCUUGCGCGAUUGAAUUAGCCGAUGUCGGAUUAGCUAGUUGGCGGGGUAAAGGCCCACCAAGGCGACGAUCCGUAGCUGGUCUGAGAGGAUUAUCAGCCACACUGGAACUGAGACACGGUCCAGACUCCUACGGGAGGCAGCAGUGGGGAAUAUUGGACGAUGGGCGCAAGCCUGAUCCAGCCAUACCGCGUGGGUGAAGAAGGCCUUCGGGUUGUAAAGCCCUUUUGUUGGGAAAGAAAAGCAGCAGGUUAAUACCCCGCUGUUCUGACGGUACCCAAAGAAUAAGCACCGGCUAACUUCGUG
rnacentral:rRNA from 1 species